AAAUUUAUUGUAUCCUAACAUAUUAUAAACCCAAACAAUACUAGAUAAGUCAUUUAGUGGUUCAACGCAAUGUUUCCGAGUUCUUAGCCCAUUUGGGACCCAAUUUCAACAAGUCUUUCUCCACACUUCUAAACACUGUUCAUGCAUCUCUAGCACUUGUAAUCAUUCAAAUUUAUUGUAUCCUAACAUAUUCUAAACCCAAACAACACUAGAUAAGUCAUUUAGUGGUUCAACCCAAUGUUUCCGAGUUCUUAGCCCAUUUGGAACGCAAUUUCAACAAGUCUUUCUUC
rnacentral:lncRNA from 1 species